rnacentral:misc_RNA from 1 species
UCCGGUUUAUCACCGGCGGUUUCCUUAGGGUGCCCAGCAUAACCUGAUGGUAACUAAGGAUGAGGGUUGCGCUCGUUGCGGGACUUAACCCAACAUCUCACGACACGAGCUGACGACAGCCAUGCAACACCUGUCACUUCUCCGGCCGAACCGAAGGACCUACUUUCAUAGGUCCGCGAGAAGGAUGUCAAGGGGUGGUAAGGUUUUUCGCGUUGCAUCGAAUUGAACCACAUGCUCCACCGCUUGUGCGGGUCCCCGUCAAUUUCUUUGAGUUUUAAUCUUGCGACCGUACUCCCCAGGCGGGGUGCUUAACGCGUUAGCUACGACACUGAGACAUACGUCCCAACGUCUAGCACCCAUCGUUUAGGGCGUGGACUAC